rnacentral:rRNA from 1 species
UACGGGGGGGGCAAGCGUUGUUCGGAAUUACUGGGCGUAAAGGGCUCGUAGGCGGCCAACUAAGUCGGAUGUGAAAUCCCCAGGCUCAACCUGGGAACUGCAUCUGAUACUGGAUGGCUUGAGUUCGGGAGAGGGAUGUGGAAUUCCAGGUGUAGCGGUGAAAUGCGUAGAUAUCAGGAAGAACACCAAUGGCGAAGGCAGCUCUCUGGGACGGUACUGACGCUGAGACGCGAAAGCGUGGGGAGCGAACAGG